CUGGACGCAGGAGGGGAGCAAUAAGCAGAGAUGUAGGUGUCCCGUCAGAGACAAGGAGCGUAAGUGCAAGUUCAAGAUCUAACUGCCACCUCCACCCCAAGUCCCAGCUGUACUUUCUUUUUAAAUCUGAAUUCCUUACACCUCCGUGCUGCUGGCCUCCAGUUGGGUGAGGUUCUUUGGAGGGACAAGAGGACCUUCAAACUGAGUCCGUCACUGCAAAGGGACUCAGACCUGCAGUCUUGAGUUGCAGUCUAGUCUUUGUUUCAUGCUCGCAGACUGACUCGGGGCAGCUUAUAAACAACAUGUUCCUGUCAUUAUCUGGAAUUACUCAACUGUAAAGUGCACCCUGCUGGCCAACUGUGACACCAGGGAGUGUGGCAAUCUUCAUUCAUUUGUUUAUUCCACAAACAUGAAUUGAGCAACUACUCCCGGCCACCGGUAAGGUUUUCUGAAGCUUUACCUCCGCAAAGGAAGAUGCAAAGGCCAGAGAUCAUUUUCACAACCGAAGGUCAUCAUCUGGACAAACGAACCACCGCGGCUUGGAGAUUAAGGGCUCAGACAGCCAUGGAUGGGACUCCAGCUCCACUGGCUACUAGCCUUGAGCAAAGACAAGUUAAAAUGAUGUACCUGAAGCGUAUUUCAGAAUUGUUAAUGGCACUGAAGUUGUACACCUCUUGCAUUCGCUUUAUGUGCCCCAAUGGAAGAGGUGCCUAAGAGCAAAAUAAAGAAGCGUGACGUAUCAUUUCAACAGCAUUCCUGGGAAGAAAGGAGCUGGGGAGAAAUUCUUAGCCAGAUUAAAAUCCUAAGUAUUUUAUACGAUAGAAAUAAAAGAAACAAAUGCAC